AGUUUGAUCCUGGCUCAGAACGAACGCUGGCGGCGUGCCUAACACAUGCAAGUCGAACGAGAAAUUCCGGGCUUGCUCGGAUGAGUAAAGUGGCGCACGGGUGAGUAACGCGUGGGUAACCUGCCCUUGAAUUUGGGAUAACCCCGUGAAAACGGGACUAAUACCGAAUAUUGUCCCGAGAACCCUGGUUCUUGGGAUGAAAGGUGACCUCUUCAUGAAAGUUGCCGUUCAGGGAAGGGCCCGCGUACCAUUAGCUUGUUGGUAGGGUAACGGCCUACCAAGGCGACGAUGGUUAGCUGGUCUGAGAGGAUGAUCAGCCACACUGGAACUGAAACACGGUCCAGACUCCUACGGGAGGCAGCAGUGAGGAAUUUUGCGCAAUGGGGGAAACCCUGACGCAGCAACGCCGCGUGAGUGAAGAAGGCUUUCGGGUCGUAAAGCUCUGUCAAGUGGGAAAAAAUGCUUUCGGUCAAUAGCCGAGAGAAUUGAUGGUACCACUGGAGGAAGCACCGGCUAACUCCGUGCCAGCAGCCGCGGUAAUACGGAGGGUGCAAGCGUUGUUCGGAAUUACUGGGCGUAAAGAGCGUGUAGGCGGUUUGGCAAGUCAGACGUGAAAGCCCUGGGCUCAACCCAGGAAGUGCAUUUGAAACUGCCAUACUUGAGUAUGGGAGAGGAGAGUGGAAUUCCCAGUGUAGAGGUGAAAUUCGUAGAUAUUGGGAGGAACACCCGUGGCGAAGGCGACUCUCUGGACCAAUACUGACGCUGAGACGCGAAAGCGUGGGAGCAAACAGGAUUAGAUACCCUGGUAGUCCACGCCGUAAACGAUGAGAACUAGGUGUAGCGGGUAUUGACCCCUGCUGUGCCGAAGUUAACGCAUUAAGUCUCCGCCUGGAGACCGCGG
rnacentral:rRNA from 1 species